rnacentral:misc_RNA from 1 species
UCCGUAGUAGCCAUAUUGGAAAAUAGCGAUUGUCAACUUCGUUGGCAACAUCGUUAAAUAUCUGAUCAAUUGGAGACCAUCCAGUGUUGGUCAGAUCUUCAACAUGCUGAAAAGUGUUCCAAAAAUCUUUGUCUUUCUUUUCAUAUGCAUUUUAGCAGAUGAACACGAUCAUGUAUAUGAAGAUGGGGAGGAGGUUGUGCUAUGGAUGAAUACUGUUGGGCCCUACCACAACAGACAGGAGACGUACUCCUAUUUCUCCCUACCCUUCUGUGCUGGCCCUAAGGAGAGCAUCGGACACUACCACGAGACCCUGGGAGAGGCUCUUCAGGGGACAGAGCUGGAAUUCAGUGGCUUAGACAUUGACUUUAAAGGUGAGGUGAAGAAGACGGAAUACUGCUCUGUAGAAUUAACACAAGACAAAUUUGAGGCCUUUGUUUAUGCAGUGAAGAACCACUACUGGUACCAGAUGUACAUUGAUGAUCUUCCUAUUUGGGGUAUCGUUGGAGAAAUAAGUGAUAGUGGGGAAGACUUUUAUGUAUGGACACAUAAAAAGUUUGACAUCGGAUACAACGGUAAACAGAUUGUGGAUGUUAACCUAACUAGUGAAGCCAAGAAAAAGCUGUCUCCAGGGGCUAAAAUCUCAUUCAGUUAUGAGGUACAUUUCACACCGUCGAAGAUCAAGUAUGAAAAGAGAUUUGACAAGUACCUUGAUCCCAAUUUCUUCCAGCAUAGAAUUCACUGGUUCAGCAUCUUCAAUUCCUUUAUGAUGGUUAUUUUCCUGGUGGGACUGGUCAGCAUGAUUCUCAUGAGGACCCUGAGGAAGGACUACGCCCGUUACAGCAAGGAGGAGGACCUAGAUGAUAUGGAAAAAGACUUGGGUGAUGAGUAUGGCUGGAAGCAAGUUCACGGAGACGUAUUCCGCCCGGCCUCCAACGCUCUGCUGUUCUCUUCACUGAUUGGCACAGGAUAUCACAUUGCUGUCGUCACCAUGUGUGUCAUCAUCUUCUCCAUACUGGGAGACCUGUACACAGAGCGAGGUUCUCUCCUGAGUACAGCUAUUUUUGUUUAUGCUGCUACCUCACCGGUCAAUGGUUACUUUGGAGGAAGUCUGUAUGCAAGAAUGGGAGGAAAGGUGUGGAUAAAGCAGAUGAUGGUUGGUGCUUUCAUGCUUCCUCUGGCUGUGUGUGGAACGGCAUUCUUCAUUAACUUCAUCGCUAUCUACUAUCAUGCUUCUAGAGCCAUUCCAUUUGGAACAAUGGUAGCAGUGACGUGUAUAUGUAUAUUCGUCAUCCUGCCAUUGACUUUGGUGGGGACUGUUUUGGGGAGAAAUUUGGCAGGUCAACCAAAUUAUCCCUGUCGUGUGAAUGCAGUACCAAGGCCAAUUCCUGAAAAGAAAUGGUUCAUGGAGCCAUCUGUGAUAAUCGUUCUUGGUGGAAUCCUUCCAUUUGGAUCUAUAUUUAUUGAAAUGUACUUUAUCUUCACAUCGUUCUGGGCCUACAAGAUUUACUAUGUGUACGGCUUCAUGCUGCUAGUGUUUGUAAUCUUAACAAUAGUGACUGUCUGUGUGACCAUCGUGUGUACAUAUUUCCUACUGAAUGCGGAAGACUAUCGGUGGCAAUGGACAAGCUUUUCUGCUGCUGCUUCAACAGCAGGAUAUGUGUAUCUCUAUUCAUUUUAUUACUUCUUUUUUAAAACAAAGUAAGUAUCAAGUUAGCUGUUUGAAGUCUCAUUUUUCAAUGGUAGAGUUUAAAUUAAAUUAAGGUAUUUUUAUACAGCUUUGAAUAAGAAAUUUUUUCCUUUUGCAGAAUGUAUGGGUUUUUCCAAACUACAUUUUAUUUUGGUUACAUGGCGUUAUUCAGCUUAGCACUAGGGAUCAUGUGUGGAACAUUUGGAUAUAUAGGCACGAGUUACUUUGUACGAAAGAUAUAUUCCACGGUAAAGAUAGACUAGAGACAAAUUUAUAAAUGUGGGUAAUUUGUACAGUGAAGUUGAUGGAGCAGAAUUCCGAGUGUAAUGCCGAGUGUUGUGUGUGUGAAGUAAUUGAUGCCAUGACAGUCAAUUUCAAAGUGGUGUGACUGAAUCUCUCAAGUCCAUCAAGUCAUCAACUCACUGGGUGAAUUUUUGUGGAUCUGCAUUUAAAUAAUUGGAUCGAACCCUAGUUAAGAUAUCAUCCAUAAAACUUAGUUCAUGUUCUUGCUUAGAAUACUUUCUGGAUCGAUUAAGCUUCAAACUUAUUCAAAUCUGUAUCAUUGGCUGUAUCAAAUCAAAUCUGUAUCACUGGUUACUGUUAAACUUUAAACUUGUUCAUAUCAUGAUCUUGUCUAGUAACCAUUGAUAUUGAUUACACUUAGUAUUGUGUAAGCAUGAUUUCUUCAUUUUCCAUUAACAUUCCUUAAGUGAUGAAAUAUACAUUAUAAGUUGAAUGUAUUUUGUAAACAGGCCAGAUUAAUAGAGAAUGUAUGUGAUUGUUAUGAUAUUGAGAUGCACAGCGGAUGCUGGUAUGACAAUUCUCUUGUGAUUUGGACAGAAUGUUUGGAAGAGUAUUGCGGCAAAUAUGUGAUAUGCAUGUACAUGUAAGAAAAUUGCUUUAUACUAUGUUCUGAUUUAAUGACCAAUGCAAGCAGUGAGUGAAUGUAUGUUUAUUUUGAGUGAGUUAUUAAUUCAAUCAUUAAAUUAUUUAUUGUUUACUUGUUUUAUGUUAGAUAUAAAGGGUUUAAAUGUUCGCUUUUGAGGAAACCUGCUUGUACAGUUCAUAUUAUAUAGUAAAACAUAUUUUUAUUUCCAUAUGUGUAAAAUUUGUAAAUAGUUUAUAAGGGGAUGUAAUAUAUUUGUAUAUAUUACUAUGAACAGAAAAAAAGUUUCAUGAAAUGAAACCGAUUUACCAUUAAAUUAAAAAUUAUAAA